UUUCAUUAUUGUGUUUACUUUGGAAAUUCCUACCUUGUAUAUUCCAAUAUAUUAAUUGAUGAAAGAAAUAAAUAAAUAGACAUAGAUGGACUGGAAGAUAUGAAGCUCAUCUUUGGGAUAAUAGCUGUAGAAGGGAAGGACAAUCAAGAAAAGUGUAUUUGGGUGGAUAUGAUAAAGAAGAUAAAGCAGCUAGGGCUUAUGAUUUGGCUGCAUUAAAGUAUUGGGGGACAUCCACUACUACCAAUUUUCCUGUAAUUUACUCUAUGUAUCUUGAUGCUUCAC